CAAACCACAUCCAGAGCAGGAGGCCGCCCUCAAUGCUGCACACUCGCCGACCCGCAACUCAUAACCGCUGUUUUUAUUUUCCACAGAGCCCCCUGGCCCGAUCGACAACACCAAAAUCGCUGUGGCCAAAGGAAGCGGCCACAUGCAAGUCAAACAGGGAGCCGAUUAUGGGCAGAUCUCGGAGGAGACCUGGAUUUACUUGAGCACGCUCUACGGCGGAGGCCCCGAGAUCGCCAUCCGGCAAAACGUGGCCCAGGUGCAGGAGGUGGAGAGCCUCCACGGGGAGCAGAAGAUCGAAGCCGAGACCAGGGCUGUUUAAAACGAGGGACGCAUUCAGGUCGGCUCCCCCGUCAAACUCCUCCUGCAUUUUGGAAGUCAACACACAUCCAGCCGCUGCUCUCACCACUACCACCCGCUGCCCUGUCCCCAACAAGCCCCUUGGGCACCCAUCUUAAUUUGAGGCUCGGUCGCUUUUCCCUCCCCCUUUGACCGGGG